GCACAGUCUUUGGUAAAAAAAAUAAAGUCAAUCAAGCGCUUCCUGUAGCCAACGACGAGCUUCCUAUAACCAUCAAUGAGCUUCCUCCACCUCUGUACUGGCAGUUUGGCCCACUCCCCUUGUGCAAACUGCUACAGCAUCACACUACAAUCCAUGCUACAGCAUCACACUACAAUCCAUGCUAAAAUGUGGGAUUUUGUCAUAUGCGAAAAUGUGCCUUUUUAAAACGUUGUCUAACGUUAGUUAGUAGCCUUGUCAAGGAUGACAUAUUGGGACACAACACUUUAUAGACCCGGUGGAACUAAAGUAAAUCUUGAAUUUGGAGGUUUAUGAUCUUUAAUAUGCUGAUUAGCAUAGGGCUAACGUGUGCCAGGUUAUCUGAUGGGUCCAGCUGGUGAGAUUAGCAUAGGGCUAACGUGUGCCAGGUUACCUGAUGGGACCAGCGGGUGAGAUUAGC
ensembl:lncRNA